AUUGCACGCUAGCGGGAUGCCUUACACAUGCAAGUCGAACGGAGUGGCGAACGGGUGAGUAAUGUAUCGGAACGUGCCCCGUAGCGGGGGAUAACUACGCGAAAGCGUAGCUAAUACCGCAUACUUUUGGAGCGGCCGAUACCCGAGUAGGAAGUUGGUGGGGUAACGGUUCACCAAGGCGACGCUCCGUAGCUGGUUUGAGAGGACGACCAGCCACACUGGGACUGAGACACGGCCCAGACUCCUACGGGAGGCAGCAGUGGGGAAUGUGGGACAAUGGGGGAAACCCUGAUGCAGCCAUCCCGCGUGUGCGAUGAAGGCCUUCGGGUUGUAAAGCACUUUCAGCGGGGAGGCGUUACCCGCAGAAGAAGCACCGGCUAACUCCGUGCCAGCCGCCGCGGUAAUAC
rnacentral:rRNA from 1 species